AUGGUCUUAGCUUGCUAAGGCCGAUGGCGACCGGCGCACGGGUGAGUAACGCGUAUGCAACUUACCUAUCAGGAGGGGGAUAACCCGGCGAAAGUCGGACUAAUACCACAUGAAGCAGGGAUCCCGCAUGGGAAUAUUUGCUAAAGAUUCAUCGCUGAUAGAUAGGCAUGCGUUCCAUUAGGCAGUUGGCGGGGUAACGGCCCACCAAACCGACGAUGGAUAGGGGUUCUGAGAGGAAGGUCCCCACAUUGGGACUGAGAUACGGUCCAGACUCC
rnacentral:rRNA from 1 species